rnacentral:misc_RNA from 1 species
GUGGGAGGGGGCUUGCUCCCGAAGGCGGACUGUCAGUCGAUACAUCUGUAGCUGACCCACCGCUAUCGGGAGCAAGCCCCCUCCCAC